GACGAACGCUGGCGGCGUGCUUAACACAUGCAAGUCGAACGAUGAACUUGGAGCUUGCUCUGGGGGAUUAGUGGCGAACGGGUGAGUAACACGUGAGUAACCUGCCCCGGACUCUGGGAUAACUUCGAGAAAUCGGAGCUAAUACCGGAUAGGACCUUGCACCGCAUGGUGUGGGGUGGAAAGUUUUUCGGUUUGGGAUGGACUCGCGGCCUAUCAGCUUGUUGGUGAGGUAAUGGCUCACCAAGGCGUCGACGGGUAGCCGGCCUGAGAGGGGGACCGGCCACACUGGGACUGAGACACGGUCCAGACUCCUACGGGAGGCAGCAGUGGGGAAUAUUGCACAAUGGGCGCAAGCCUGAUGCAGCAACGCCGCGUGCGGGAUGACGGCCUUCGGGUUGUAAACCGCUUUUAGUAGGGAAGAAGCCUUCGGGUGACGGUACCUGCAGAAAAAGGACCGGCUAACUACGUGCCAGCCGCCGCAGUAACAC
rnacentral:rRNA from 1 species